rnacentral:lncRNA from 1 species
UCAGAAAUUGGCACAUCCCUUUAAAAAUAACAACAGAAAAUACAACUCCUGGGAAAAAAGGUGCUGAUUCUAUAAGAUUAUUUAUAUAUGUAAGUGUUUAAAAAGAUUAUUUUCCAGAAAGUUUGUGCAGGGUUUAAGUUGCUACUAUUCAACUACACUAUAUAUAAAUAAAAUAUAUACAAUAUAUACAUUGUUUUCACUGUAUCACAUUGAAGUACUUGGGCUUCAGAAGUAAGAGCCAACCAACUGAAAACCUGAGAUGGAGAUAUGUUCAAAGAACGAGAUACAAUUUUGUAGUUUUCAGUGUAACUCUCGGCAUUUCAAAAGAGUAAGUAUCUCACAAAUAGGAAAUACAACUAAAACGUAGAUUUAAAAAGAACUGCACGGGCUUUAGGGUAAUUGCUCAUCUUAAACCUCACUAGAGGGAAGUCUUUUCAAGUUUCAAGCAAGACCAUUUACUUAAUGUGAAGUUUUGGAAAGUUAUAAAGGUGUAUGUUUUAGCCAUAUGAUUUUAAUUUUAAUUUUGCUUCUUUUAGGUUCGUUCUUAUUUAAAGCAAUAUGAUUGUGUGACUCCUUGUAGUUGCACUUGUGUUUCAAUCAGAUCAGAUUGUUGUAUUUAUUCCACUAUUUUGCAUUUAAAUGAUAACAUAAAAGAUAUAAAAAAUUUAAAACUGCUAUUUUUCUUAUAGAAGAGAAAAUGGGUGUUGGUGAUUGUAUUUUAAUUAUUUAAGCGUCUCUGUUUACCUGCCUAGGAAAACAUUUUAUGGCAGUCUUAUGUGCAAAGAUCGUAAAAGGACAAAAAAUUUAAACUGCUUCUAAUAAUCCAGGAGUUGCAUUAUAGCCAGUAGUAAAAAUAAUAAUAAUAAUAAUAAUAAAACCAUGUCUAUAGCUGUAGAUGGGCUCCACAUCUGUAAAGCAAUCAAUUGUAUAUUUUUGUGAUGUGUACCAUACUGUGUGCUCCAGCAAAUGUCCAUUUGUGUAAAUGUAUUUAUUUUAUAUUGUAUAUAUUGUUAAAUGCAAAAAGGAGAUAUGAUUCUGUAACUCCAAUCAGUUCAGAUGUGUAACUCAAAUUAUUAUGCCUUUCAGGAUGAUGGUAGAGCAAUAUUAAACAAGCUUCCACUUUUGA